UUCUUUAAGAAAUAAUUUAAAGUACAACCUGCUCAAUGAUAUUUCAAUAGCCGCAGAACAACUGUGCUAAGGUAGCAUAAUCAUUUGCUUUUUAAUUAAAAGAUAGUAUGAAAGGAUUAACGACUAAUUACUUUUUUUAAUUAUUUUAUUAAAUUAAAAUUAAUGUUAAAAUUCAUUAACAAAUAAGUUAGACGACAAGACCCUACUAAACUUACUAUUUUGUUGGGGCAACACAAAAACAAAAUUUUAUUAUAAAUAAACGUACAACUUUAAUAAAAAUUUAAAAACAGUUACUAUAGGGAUAACAGCGCAAUAUCUUUUCAGAAUCACUAUUUAAAAAGAAGAUUACGACCUCGAUGUUGAAUUAAUUUAUCUAAAUAAACAAAAUUUAUUAAAGUUAGUCUGUUCGACUAUUAAAAAAUU
rnacentral:rRNA from 1 species